GCAAUCUUUGGAAGAAUAAUAGAUUCAGUCUGAAGAGCCCAUCUUUCAGUGAUAGAAAGAAGCAAGUGAUCAUCUUUAGUCUUGAUGCUUGUGAAUUAUGACUCAUCCUCAGCUUGCGAAUCUGGAAUUGGACAAGGAAAAAGAUCUGACACAGGACUCAGUUGUCAUUUCAUUCCCGGCUUUGGCUAAAUGACAAUAACUGUGACAUCUUUUACAUUCUACUCACCACAGACCUUGGGCAUGUUGUGGAAUACUCAUAUAGAAAGUAAAAAGAAAAAGUUACCUGAC
rnacentral:lncRNA from 13 species